CGUGAGUAACCUGCCUUGGAGUGGGGAAUAACACAGUGAAAACUGUGCUAAUACCGCAUAAUGCAUUUGGGUCGCAUGAUUCUGAAUGCCAAAGAUUUAUCGCUCUGAGAUGGACUCGCGUCUGAUUAGCUAGUUGGCGGGGUAACGGCCCACCAAGGCGACGAUCAGUAGCCGGACUGAGAGGUUGGCCGGCCACAUUGGGAUUGAGACACGGCCCAG
rnacentral:rRNA from 1 species